rnacentral:rRNA from 1 species
UGGGGAAUCUUGCGCAAUGGGCGAAAGCCUGACGCAGCCAUGCCGCGUGAAUGAUGAAGGUCUUAGGAUUGUAAAAUUCUUUCAGCAGGGACGAUAAUGACGGUACCUGCAGAAGAAGCCCCGGCUAACUUCGUGCCAGCAGCCGCGGUAAUACGAAGGGGGCUAGCGUUGCUCGGAAUUACUGGGCGUAAAGGGCGCGUAGGCGGGUCGUUUAGUUAGAGGUGAAAGCCCAGGGCUCAACCCUGGAAUUGCCUUUAAUACUGGCGGCCUUGAGUAUGGCAGAGGUGUGUGGAACUCCGAGUGUAGAGGUGAAAUUCGUAGAUAUUCGGAAGAACACCAGUGGCGAAGGCGACACACUGGGCCAUUACUGACGCUGAGGCGCGAAAGCGUGGGGAGCAAACAG